AAAUGGCAAUCCAAGCUUUGCUGUAGGCAAGGCCUCUGCAGUGUGAAUGGUCCUAAGGGUUGUAACUUCUAUUUGUUAUUUCUUUCCCCAUUGCCACUUUCUGUCUUCUAGAAGGUGUGGGCACCAGGAGGAACAUUCCUGCAAGAAAACUCAAGAGGCAGAGAAGAAAAAAGAAAGGCCACAACUGGUCAAAACCAAAAUGGAGAAAGCCAAUGAGUGUACAGAGAAAAUGUGGCAGAAUAGCUGUUGUCCAGGCAGCUUUCAAGAGAAAGAAAAUGAAAAAGAACCCAGGAC